UCCACGCUGUAAACGAUGUCAACUAGCCGUUGGAACUCUUGAAGUUUUAGUGGCGCAGCUAACGCACUAAGUUGACCGCUGGGGAGUACGGUCGCAAGAUUAAAACUCAAAUGAAUUGACGGGGGCCCGCACAAGCGGUGGAGCAUGUGGUUUAAUUCGACGCAACGCGAAGAACCUUACCUGGCCUUGACAUGUCCGGAAUCUAACAGAGAUGUUGGAGUGCCUUCGGGAAUCGGAACACAGGUGCUGCAUGGCUGUCGUCAGCUCGUGUCGUGAGAUGUUGGGUUAAGUCCCGUAACGAGCGCAACCCCUGUCCCUAGUUACCAGCACGUUAUGGUGGGCACUUUAGGGAGACUGCCGAUGACAAAUCGGAGGAAGGUGGGGAUGAUGUCAAGUCAUCAUGGCCCUUACGGCCAGGGCUACACACGUGCUACAAUGGUUGGUACAAAGGGUUGCCAAGCUGUGAAGUGGAGCUAAUCUCAUAAAACCAAUCGUAGUCCGGAUUGAAGUCUGCAACUCGACUUCAUGAAGUCGGAAUCGCUAGUAAUCGUGAAUCAGAAUGUCACGGUGAAUACGUUCCCGGGCCUUGUACACACCGCCCGUCACACCAUGGGAGUGGGUUGCUCCAGAAGUAGCUAGACUAACCUUAGGGGGGUCGGUUACCACGGAGUGAUUCAUGACUGGGGUGAAGUCGUAACAAGGUAACCA
rnacentral:rRNA from 1 species